CCGGCACUUGCACUGAAAAUAGUACUAAAAUACAAGAUUUUGAUGUAUCAAAGUGUCCAGUUGAUGGCGGAUGGAGCUCCUGGUCGAACUCAACAUGUUCCGUCACAUGUGGAAACGGAACUCUGUCCAGAAAUCGAACUUGUGACAGUCCACUACCUUCCAGGGGCGGAAAAAAUUGUAAUGGGUCGAGUGUGGAUUCAUCAGAUUGCAGCUUAAGUGAUUGUCCAGUUGAUGGUCAGUGGGGUUCCUGGUCGACUGGACCAUGUUCUGUCACAUGCGGUAAUGGUAUUCGAUAUAGAAAGAGAAGUUGUGACAGCCCAUCAAAAUCUAACAAUGGACAAGAUUGUAUUGGUUCCAACAUAUUCACCGUAAUCUGUACCUUAGGAGCAUGUUCAGAAUCAUGUAAAGAAUCAGAAAAGAAACUAGAAUCAAAGAAAAUAUAAGCAAGAAAAUG